GACGAACGCUGGCGGCGUGCUUAACACAUGCAAGUCGAGCGGUAAGGCCCUUUCGGGGGUACACGAGCGGCGAACGGGUGAGUAACACGUGGGUGACCUGCCUUUAGCUCUGGGAUAAGCCUGGGAAACUGGGUCUAAUACCGGAUACGACUCCGCGGUGCAUGCUGUGGGGUGGAAAGCCUUGUGCGGCUGGAGAUGGGCCCGCGGCCUAUCAGCUUGUUGGUGGGGUGAUGGCCUACCAAGGCGACGACGGGUAGCCGGCCUGAGAGGGCGACCGGCCACACUGGGACUGAGACACGGCCCAGACUCCUACGGGAGGCAGCAGUGGGGAAUCUUGCGCAAUGGGCGAAAGCCUG
rnacentral:rRNA from 1 species